rnacentral:rRNA from 1 species
UACGUAGGGCCCAAGCGUUGUUCGGAUUUACUGGGCGUAAAGGGCGCGUAGGCGGCAAUUCAAGUCAUCUGUGAAAUCUCCGGGCUUAACCCGGAACGGUCAGAUGAUACUGCUUUGCUAGAGUGCGGAAGGGGCAAUCGGAAUUCUUGGUGUAGCGGUGAAAUGCGUAGAUAUCAAGAGGAACACCUGAGGUGAAGACGGGUUGCGGGGCCGACACUGACGCUGACAGCGCGAAAGCCAGGGGAGCAAACGGG